AGCGAACGCUGGCGGCAGGCCUAACACAUGCAAGUCGAACGACCUCUUCGGAGUUAGUGGCGGUCGGGUGUGUAACAUGUGGGAACGUGCCUUUAGGCUCGGAAUAAUUCAGGGACACUUGUGCUAACACCGAAUGAGCUCCUCGGGGGCCAGAUUCAUCUCCCUUGGUGAAGCACGCGACCGAUUAGCUUGUGGGUGAGGUAAAGGCGCAUCACGGCGUCGCUCAGUAGCUGGUUUGAGAGGAAGCUCAGCCACGUUGGGACUGGGACACGGCCCGAACUCCUGCAGGAGGCGGGAGUGGGGAAUCUUGCGCAAUGGGGUAAAUCCUGACGGAGCCAUGCCGCGUGAAUGAUGAAGGUCUGAGGAAAGUGAAAUACUUUCACCGGGGACGAUAAUGACGGUACCCGAAGAAGAAGCCCCGGCUAACUUCGUG
rnacentral:rRNA from 1 species